rnacentral:lncRNA from 1 species
AUUUUAAAAAAAAUUUAAAAAACUAUUAAAAAUAAAAACCUAUAUUUAUAGAUGGACCUUUUUUGGAGAAGCACUGUUGCAACUAAACACACACACACACACACACACACAAAACACAUGUGCAUAUGCACAUGUGUACACACACAGCAUUUUCAAGGACCAAAAACAUUUUUCUUGUUCUGGGGGAAACAGUCUCUGCUACCAUAUUAUAGGAAGCACCAAGUAUUUCUAAUCAUGUAACCUACUUUAUUUUGACACCAUUGGACUCAUUGUUGUUACUGUUGUUCUUUUUUAAUAUACAUAUAUAUAUAUAUAUGAUUUGGUUUUUGUCUCAAAAUCGUCUCCUGGGAUGAUUUCGUGUUUGUUGCGCAUCCUGACAUGUUCCACCCAGGGCCAUCCAGAUGUACAUUUUGUUUUGAAUUUUAUUUAUGAAUUAUCUUUUCUUACCAAGAAGAAAGAGCAAACGAACCACUCCUUUUCCACAUCUCAUUCCCAACGCCCACCAUGAAUGCAACCCACCAGGAAGCAGUUCCCGCCUGAGCACCAUUGAUAGGCGAAUGGGACGUCUCAUUCACUUCAAUGGAACGAGUUCUGAGGGUGUGCUGAGGUGACUGCACCACGUACAUUGAAUGUCCAGGCUCCUUUUAGAAAAAGAGCCACGGUGCAUUUUGUUUCUCUACAUUCUUCCAUUUGGGAUCCAUGCUCUGUCGAAAAAAAAAGAAACCAACAUCGUCACACCAUUACUUGCAUCCUAAGUCGAGACUCAAUCGGUCUGACAAGAUCCACUUGUUGGACUGGCAGCUUCUUUCUUGAAGUGGAGAAAACCAAGGGGAAAAGAGCAUUGCCGACUCAGAGCAGAGCGUCCGGCAGACGAGGUGCUGGCUUUACCCCCAAGCCCGGAGGUGUGCUUGCCCCAGCUAUUGGCAUCCAAGGACAUCCUCCUCUUUCCAUAUGUUGUCAAGGUGCUACAAGGCAUGAAGCAUUUCUGCAAAGGAGAACCAGCAAAGGGUUCCAGUUUUACUACCUAGCUGCCAAUGUUUUCGGUGGGGAGGGCUGGAGUCAGGUUGAGCCAUUUUGUAGACUUGAAAGCGUCCAUCUGAUCCGAUGUGGGGAGGGGGAAAUGUUGGAGGGAUGAUGAUGAUGAUGACGACGACGACGACUGAUCAUGUUUCAUAGACUUACAAUUUCUGGACCAGACCAAGAGGAAGCUGCCACCAUUUCAUGUGGUGCCGUGAGGUUUACAGGAAGGAAAGAUGUGAGACACUUGCUGUACCCAAGGUUUCUCUGGCUGAAUCCAAGAAGAGAGCUCUAGAUAUAAUACGUACAGGGAGGAGGUACUUGCCCUGUUUCUUUAGACCAAUGAUAUGCAUUCCCCUCAUCAUCACCACCUUGACUUUACAGAUACAAAGGAUCUCUCUUCAAGAUUAUUGUCUCCCUACCUUCUUUUAACAUUUAAGGAAAAAGCAAAGCAAGAACCAACCUAGGUGCAUCUAACAAUUGUAAAUAGACAAUAAAUAGAGGAAAAAAAACAUAUAUUUGAAAUUUGUUUCAGUUUCUUGGAUGGAACCUAGCCAUCCAUUGCAAUGUUCUUGAUAGUACACUGUGGUGCUUUCAGUUUCUGGUUAUGUUCUCUUUAUGCUCAGUCAUCUUUUCAUUGCAGCUACAUUUCAGGGAACAUGUAAAUUUAGUAGCUAUUGUAAGUUCUGCAUGGCACCACCAAGCUUAUUUUUCCUUGAGAAGACAAGAAGGAUCCUGAUGGAGCAUAACAACCCUCUGAAUGGGGAGGGGCAUGUGCCAGAGAAUGCACACAGGAGUGGGGAAAUGGAUGAAAAUCCUCGUUUGGGGCCAAUUUUGGG